rnacentral:rRNA from 1 species
AUGCCUGUGAAGCAUGAGACAACACACACAACAGUUCAGUUCACACUCAGAUCAGUGUCUUAUUUUAUUUCAGUUCAAAUUUAUAGCAAAAGUACUCUUUAUUUAUUCCACCUCCAAUUUUUUUUCCGAGUUCUAUUCUUCGUCACAGGUUCACUGCUAUUACCUCGGUGCAAAAAAGUGCCAAAAAGUUCAGUUCAUACUAUUCUAAAUGUCCAUAUUGUAGAUAAUAUUUGUGCUGUCUUAAAUUUCUGGAAACAAGCUUCAGUACAAGAAAAAUGGGCCAGUCAGUUCAUCCAUAUGCAAACCCCCGUAACAAAACGUAUCUCUAAUCCAAUUAGGUGA